UACGGGGGGGAGCAAGCGUUGUUCGGAUUUACUGGGCGUAAAGGGCGCGUAGGCGGCCACUGCAAGUCGGUUGUGAAAUCUCCGGGCUUAACCCGGAAAGGUCAAUCGAUACUGCAGGGCUAGAGUGCAGAAGGGGCAACUGGAAUUCCUGGUGUAGCGGUGAAAUGCGCAGAUAUCAGGAGGAACACCGAUGGCGAAGGCAGGUCUCUGGGCAUUAACUGACGCUGAGGAGCGAAAGCAUGGGGAGCGAACAGG
rnacentral:rRNA from 1 species